rnacentral:snRNA from 1 species
GCUCACUCCAGUUGCACGUAUACUAAAAUUGGAAUAAUACAGAGAAGAUUAGCAUGGCCCCUGUGCAAGGAUGACACGCAAAUUCGUGGAGUGUUCCAUAUAUUU